GGGUGCGAUCAUACCAGUAUUAAUGCACCAGAUCGCAUCAGAACACCGCAGUGAAGCGUGCUUAGGCGAAAGUAGUACUAGGAUGGAUGACGUCGUGGGAAGUCCUCGUGUCAUACCCC
rfam:Beta vulgaris subsp. vulgaris Bvchr4_un.sca029.con0004.1, whole genome shotgun sequence.